rnacentral:rRNA from 1 species
AUUGAACGCUGGCGGCAUGCCUUACACAUGCAAGUCGAACGGCAGCACGGGUGCUUGCACCUGGUGGCGAGUGGCGAACGGGUGAGUAAUACAUCGGAACGUACCUUAUCGUGGGGGAUAACGCAGCGAAAGCUGUGCUAAUACCGCAUACGCCCUGAGGGGGAAAGCGGGGGAUCGAAAGACCUCGCGCGAUUAGAGCGGCCGAUGCCUGAUUAGCUUGUUGGUGGGGUAAAAGCCCACCAAGGCGACGAUCAGUAGCUGGUCUGAGAGGACGAUGAGCCACACUGGGACUGAGACACGGCCCAGACUCCUACGGGAGGAAGCAGUGGGGAAUUUUGGACAAUGGGGGCAACCCUGAUCCAGCAAUGCCGCGUGAGUGAAGAAGGCCUUCGGGUUGUAAAGCUCUUUUGUCAGGGAAGAAACACCGGCUCUAACACAGUCCGGGAAUGACGGUACCUGAAGAAUAAGCACCGGCUAACUACGUGCCAGCAGCCGCAGUAA